GACGGAGGAUGCAAGUGUUAUCCGGAAUCACUGGGCGUAAAGCGUCUGUAGGUGGUCAAAUAAGUCAACUGUUAAAUCUUGAGGCUCAACCUCAAAAUCGCAGUCGAAACUAUUCGACUAGAGUAUAGUAGGGGUAAAGGGAAUUUCCGGUGGAGCGGUGAAAUGCGUAGAGAUCGGAAAGAACACCAACGGCGAAAGCACUCUGCUGGGCCGACACUGACACUGAGAGACGAAAGCUAGGGGAGCGAAUGGG
rnacentral:rRNA from 1 species